GGCGCAGCUCCCGCGGGCGGACCUCCAGCUCGGCCUGGGCGGCGGAGCGGAGCAGCGGCAGCUCCACCGUCACCACCAGCUCCCGGGGCACCGGGCCGGGCGCCGAGUCGCGGCCGCAGCGGUAGUCCUGGCCGUCACCUCCUCUUCGUAAAGCCGCCGCUGCUCCGGGUCGGUCAGCUCCGCCGCGUACUCGGCGAACAGCGCCCGGAACCGCUCGUCGCGGAAGGCCCGCUGCAGCCGCUCCGCUUCCUCGGAGCUCAGCUCCAGCUCCUCCAGCCGCCCCGGGCCCGCCAUGGCCGCGCUGGUUGCUGUGGAGACGGGUAAACAAGAUGGCGGCUCCGUCCCGGCCGAGCGCGUUGCUAUGGCGACGCUAAAACAAGAUGGCGGCCCCCGGUUUCGUUGCUAUAGUGACGCUAAACAAGAUGGCGGUGGCGCCUUCAGGCUGUUGCUAUGGGGACGCCGAGCAAGAUGGCGCCCCAACGCGCUCCGCGUGGCUCCCACAGCUGCUGCAGGCCAUAUCCCGUGCAGAAAUUAGCACUGCCACGUCCUGAUGCUCCCGCAUGAGUUUAAAACGACCUCACCCCUGUUCCCCUUACGCCUCUCCCCAGCUGUGUAACACUAUCCACUGCCAGCACUAAUCAGCCCCUCGCAAAUCUGCCUUAUGCCUUUCCUGCCCCAAGACAAAUCGCAGCCUGCACUGCCCUUCCUGCGGGUUGCAGAUAACUUGCACUCAGUUCAGCUCAGCACAGGGAAAAACAGUUCUCCCUCUCCUUCGCUUCCUUUCUAAAAGAUACCUAUUUCCUAUGCGUGCCCUUGCUUCCUCCGGGUGCCUUCUUUUCUUGUGUUGUGGAAAUCAAUCUUUGGUAGCUCCAUUUUAUCUAAACACAGCAGAUUUUUGUGUAAAAGUUUAUUUCCGUACAAAAUAAGCCUGGCUUUGACAUUUAUUAUGAAUAGCCUGCAAGAUAUCAUAAAAUCAAUCCAUCUAAACGAGUGCUAUGGUUGGCCUCACAAAGGCUCAGUCCCUUUCUGCAGUCUUGUAGAAAGUCAGAGACCCUGAAGCUUGCUGAAAAUACCAAACAAAAGCAAGGUUUAGUUGAAAGAAAUGUCAAUACAUACCACAUUAUUCUAUUUUGUGAGCUGUGAAAGACUUCAUAAUGUUUUCAUCUAUCUAAAGACCUAAAGCAUCUCAUGGUACGAUUAUUUUCUGUAGUCAAGAAAAGAUAACACAGAUCUAUCUUUUAUCCACUCCCUUAUGUGGGAGAUUAUGCACUUCCGUGUGACAAAAAGCUGCUGCAACAAGACAUGAAAUUCAAUCAGUGGCAGACAAGACAAAUAGCAAUUUUCCUAUUUGGUUCCACCACUGUUAUUUCAAACUGAUGCACAGUUGGUAACGUUUUGAUACUGUUUAGUUUGGGUUUUUCUCCUUUUGCAACUUUUUUUUUUUUCCAGUUGUUGAAAGACCACAAUAGGAAUGAAUAAGCACACGUGUAAAGUACAUGAAAUCAAAGUAUAAAAGUGGCUUUUGAGUUUGAUUAUGAUCACAAAAUGGACCAAAAAUCGUUCCUAAGUGUGAUUAACCCAUGCAACAAGUAUAAUGUUCAGAAACAAACCUGUUUCCCAACUGGGUCUCAGUUACCGAAAAUGAUAUAAUACAAUCUAUUUACUUUUGGAUCAUGUUUUUCAUCACUGUUUCCUGACCGUAACUUCUGAAUGUCUUACUGUAGGUCUAGGCUUCAGAAUUGCUUACACUGCUGGAGUGCAAAGCAUAAGUCUGCGUUAACUGCUAGAACAUUCAUUGUGUUUACAUAAUUGCUUUUCUGUAUUCCUCCUGAUAACUAAAAAGUCAGCAAAUAAAAGGAAUAUAUUUACCUGUCUUCAA